rnacentral:rRNA from 1 species
AUUGAACGCUGGCGGCAGGCCUAACACAUGCAAGUCGAACGGUAGCACAGAGAGCUUGCUCUCGGGUGACGAGUGGCGGACGGGUGAGUAAUGUCUGGGAAACUGCCUGAUGGAGGGGGAUAACUACUGGAAACGGUAGCUAAUACCGCAUAACGUCGCAAGACCAAAGAGGGGGACCUUCGGGCCUCUUGCCAUCGGAUGUGCCCAGAUGGGAUUAGCUAGUAGGUGGGGUAAUGGCUCACCUAGGCGACGAUCCCUAGCUGGUCUGAGAGGAUGACCAGCCACACUGGAACUGAGACACGGUCCAGACUCCUACGGGAGGCAGCAGUGGGGAAUAUUGCACAAUGGGCGCAAGCCUGAUGCAGCCAUGCCGCGUGUAUGAAGAAGGCCUUCGGGUUGUAAAGUACUUUCAGCGAGGAGGAAGGCAUUAAGGUUAAUAACCUUAGUGAUUGACGUUACUCGCAGAAGAAGCACCGGCUAACUCCGUGCCAGCCGCCGCAGUAAAAC